UUCAACACAAAUACCCAGAGUGCUGCAAAUACCUGGAGUGCUUUGCUUAGCCAGCUGUUCUGGCUAAGCAAAAUGCAGUAUAGUGACUAGACUGCUAU
rnacentral:lncRNA from 1 species